AGCGAACGCUGGCGGCGUGCUUAACACAUGCAAGUCGAACGGAAAGGCCCCUUCGGGGGUGCUCGAGUGGCGAACGGGUGAGUAACACGUGGGUGAUCUGCCCUGCACUUCGGGAUAAGCCUGGGAAACUGGGUCUAAUACCGGAUAGGACCGCGCGAUGCAUGUCGUGUGGUGGAAAGCUUUUGCGGUGUGGGAUGGGCCCGCGGCCUAUCAGCUUGUAGGUGGGGUGAUGGCCUACCAAGGCGACGACGGGUAGCCGGCCUGAGAGGGUGGCCGGCCACACUGGGACUGAGAUACGGCCCAGACUCCUACGGGAGGCAGCAGUGGGGAAUAUUGCACAAUGGGCGCAAGCCUGAUGCAGCGACGCCGCGUGAGGGAUGACGGCCUUCGGGUUGUAAACCUCUUUCAGUAGGGACGAAGCGCAAGUGACGGUACCUACAGAAGAAGCACCGGCCAACUACGUGCCAGCAGCCGCCGCAGUAA
rnacentral:rRNA from 1 species